rnacentral:tRNA from 1 species
UGGCUCAGACAGUAAAGCGUCUGUCUGCAAUGCAGGAGACCCAGGUUCGAUCCCUGG